UGUCUGUGUUGGCAGAGAAGAAGAUAUUAAAAAAUCUGAAAGAAUGACAGCUGUUGUCCAUGAUAGAGAAGUGGUCAUUUUCUACCACAGAGGAGAAUAUCAUGCUAUGGAUAUUCGCUGUUACCUGACUAGAUGUAAUAUUCAAUUCCUUUGCAGACUCAGGAGGACCUUUACAUUUAGGAGAAAUAGAGUCAAGGCAGUUUCAAAGUAAGGAAGAUACAGCUGCUCCCCAGCCAUACGAGAUGUGAAAGUUUCAGCGAGCCAAGAUGCUGGGCAGACGUGCCAGGAUUCCUAUAAAAAGAUGAGUCUCCUGAUUUCAAGGUUCCUCUCCUGCAAUGUAACUUACUACAUGCAUAGGUAACAUCUGGCUGUCACCACAUUGCCCUGUGGGAACUGACACAAGAUACUGCUCUGGCUGCUGCUUUUGCUUGUCUCUUCUGGCAGUGUGUGUGCCUAUGUAUUUCUAUAACUGGCAGGCUAACUUGUUAGCUCAUAAAGUGUAAAAUCUCAGCUCCUUCACAGUUUUAACUUAGCAAAGAGGAGAAAAAAGAAAGACUGUAAAUAACAAUAAUGGACAGUGUCUUUAAACAUAAUUUCAUAAUAAAUACAGAAAUAUUCUUCAAAGGAUACUUCUUAUAUCAACUCUCUAUAAAAACUAUGGGUCUAACAAUGCAAGGAAAGAAACAGCAAGGCAAAACAUUAGAUUCAGAAAGACAUUUCAUUGGGAAUUUAAAAUAAUACAGUUCAGCUAUGUUUCUUUUUGAUGAUCUAAAGAUACAGGAAUAAGCCUUAUAGUGCUCAGAAAUCCAAUGGUUAACAAACAGAAACCAUUUUUUACUUUCUCAAACAUCAUGUAUUAUAAAGGAGCCUUUUAUAAAUGUUGUCUCAGGCAAUUCAUAAUUGAAAUAUCUGAUGAUUUCUGGAAAUGUCAAAAUUUUUUAUUAAGAGAUUCCUAUAUACUGAAUAUUUUGUUUAUUUUAGCCACCCAUCAUCUAUUUUCUCAUCUUCUUAAAACGACACAGAUUUUUGUUUGAGGAUUCAUCCUUUCCCCAUUCUUAAGUCAUGUUGUCUCGAUGGGGCUCCAACCCCUACUCUAGAAAUGAAGCAGGUAAUCAAGUCCUAGGCCAAUCAAUGCACCCCCAUUUCCCUGGUUAAGAGGUAAGCCAUUCUCUAAGAGUGAACCUCAGGACUUGGCCAGGAAUGCUGGGUCAAGGACUCACUCUUUUCUGCUGUAGUUGAACCUGGAAGGAUGUAGCCUGGGAACAAUUGCAAAUCAUCUUGUGACCACGAGGGGAAAGUCAGUCUAUGAAUGGAGUCAACACAGAGAAAGCAGAGCCAAGAGAUCAGUAAAAGAGAGAAACAGGAUCCUGAAGGUAUCAUUUGAGUACCUAUAUCCAGCUAUGCCUGAAACCCUCUCAACUCUGGAUUGAGUACAAGAACUAAUACAUCUCCUUUCUGGCUUAACUCUCCCUUCAACAAAGGGAUGCUUUGAGUAAUGCCCAGAUUGAAAAACCCAGAGUUCUGUGCCAUAAAGUUCAGAAAAAAAGAAACUGGUCCUGAAAAACUUUGACAAAAUAUAAUAGGGCCUCAAUAAAACAACAUAGAACACGUAUUUGAAACAGACCUGGACACUGACAGGUCUAUCGAAAUGAGUUUAUAGCUAAAUAUACUCAAUAUGUUAUGUCAAAGAUUAUCUUGGAAACAUAACAAGGUUAUGGGGAAAAGGACACAAAGCACAUCAUUUUUAAGGCUUGUUGUAGAAUUUCUUUCAGAUUUGACAUAAGUGGUAAUUUGCAUGCUUAUAUUUAGGUUGAACCAUUUGAAAUUGAUAGUUUCAUUUAGUUCAAUCAAAUAACAAGGGAGAAAAAAGUCUGCAUUACUUCCUUUUUCACAUUUAUUUAAACGAGAGAAUAUACUAUACUGAAAAAAGGCCCAUCUAUUUAUUUCUCUUAUCCAACUAUUCUUGUUUUACAUCUAGGACAACCAAAUG